rnacentral:rRNA from 1 species
UACAGAGGUCCCAAGCGUUGUUCGGAUUCAUUGGGCGUAAAGGGUGCGUAGGUGGCGCCGUAAGUCGGGUGUGAAAUUUCGGAGCUUAACUCCGAAACUGCAUUCGAUACUGCGGUGCUUGAGGACUGGAGAGGAGACUGGAAUUCAUGGUGUAGCAGUGAAAUGCGUAGAUAUCGUAAGGAAGACCAGUGGCGAAGGCGAGUCUCUGGACAGUUACUGACGCUGAGGCACGAAGGCCAGGGGAGCAAACGGG